CCUACGGGUGGCAGCAGUGAGGAAUAUUGGUCAAUGGACGCAAGUCUGAACCAGCCAUGCCGCGUGCAGGAUGACGGCUCUAUGAGUUGUACACUGCUUUUGUACGAGAGUAAACGCAGGUACGCGUAUCUGUCUGCAAGUAUCGUACGAAUAAGGAUCGGCUAACUCCGUGCCAGCAGCCGCGGUAAUACGGAGGAUUCAAGCGUUAUCCGGAUUUAUUGGGUUUAAAGGGAGCGUAGGCGGUCGGAUAAGUUAGGGGUGAAAUUCCGAGGCUCAACUUCGGAAUUGCCUCUGAUACUGUUCGGCUAGAGAGUAGUAGCGGUAGGCGGAAUGCAUGGUGGAGCGGUGAAAUGCUUAGAGAUCAGACAGAACACCGAUUGCGAAGGCAGCUUACCAAGCUACUGCUGACGCUGAGGCACGAAAGCGUGGGGAGCAAACAGGAUUAGAUACCCGUGUAGUC
rnacentral:rRNA from 1 species